rnacentral:rRNA from 1 species
AUGAACGCUGGCGGCGUGCCUAACACAUGCCCGUCGAACGAAGCACCUUACCUGAUUCUUCGGAUGAAAGUUUGGUGACUGAGUGGCGGACGGGUGAGUAACGCGUGGGUAACCUGCCCUGUACAGGGGGAUAACAGCUGGAAACGGCUGCUAAUACCGCAUAAGCGCACGAGGAGACAUCUCCUUGUGUGAAAAACUCCGGUGGUACAGGAUGGGCCCGCGUCUGAUUAGCUGGUUGGCAGGGUAACGGCCUACCAAGGCAACGAUCAGUAGCCGGUCUGAGAGGAUGAACGGCCACAUUGGAACUGAGACACGGUCCAAACUCCUACGGGAGGCAGCAGUGGGGAAUAUUGCACAAUGGGGGAAACCCUGAUGCAGCAACGCCGCGUGAGUGAAGAAGUAUUUCGGUAUGUAAAGCUCUAUCAGCAGGGAAGAUAAUGACGGUACCUGACUAAGAAGCUCCGGCUAAAUACGUG